GAUGAACGCUGGCGGCGUGCCUAAUACAUGCAAGUCGAGCGAACAGACGAGGAGCUUGCUCCUCUGACGUUAGCGGCGGACGGGUGAGUAACACGUGGAUAACCUACCUAUAAGACUGGGAUAACUUCGGAAACCGGGGGUAAUUCCGGAAUAUUUAUUUGACCGGAUGGUUUAAUAGUUAAAGACGGGUUUUGCGUUACUUAUUGGUUGAUCCGCGCCGCAUUAGCUAGUUGGUAAGGUAACGGCUUACCAAGGCAACGAUGCGUAGCCGACCUGAGAGGGUGAUCGGCCACACUGGAACUGAGACACGGUCCAGACUCCUACGGGAGGCAGCAGUAGGGAAUCUUCCGCAAUGGGCGAAAGCCUGACGGAGCAACGCCGCGUGAGUGAUGAAGGUCUUCGGAUCGUAAAACUCUGUUAUUAGGGAAGAACAAAUGUGUAAGUAACUAUGCACGUCUUGACGGCACCUAAUCAGAAAGCCACGGCUAACUACGUG
rnacentral:rRNA from 1 species